rnacentral:rRNA from 1 species
AUUGAACGCUGGCGGCAUGCUUUACACAUGCAAGUCGAACGGCAGCGCGGACUUCGGUCUGGCGGCGAGUGGCGAACGGGUGAGUAAUAUAUCGGAACGUACCCAGGGGUGGGGGAUAACGUAGCGAAAGUUACGCUAAUACCGCAUACGCUCUACGGAGGAAAGCAGGGGAUCGCAAGACCUUGCGCUCUUGGAGCGGCCGAUAUCUGAUUAGCUAGUUGGUGGGGUAAGGGCUCACCAAGGCAACGAUCAGUAGCUGGUCUGAGAGGACGGCCAGCCACACUGGGACUGAGACACGGCCCAGACUCCUACGGGAGGCAGCAGUGGGGAAUUUUGGACAAUGGGGGCAACCCUGAUCCAGCAAUGCCGCGUGAGUGAAGAAGGCCUUCGGGUUGUAAAGCUCUUUUGUCAGGGAAGAAACGGGCGUGGCUAAUAUCCAUGCCUAAUGACGGUACCUGAAGAAUAAGCACCGGCUAACUACGUGCCAGCCGCCGCAGUAAGAC